CAUAGUGAUCCGGUGGUUCUGAAUGGAAGGGCCAUCGCUCAACGGAUAAAAGGUACUCCGGGGAUAACAGGCUGAUACCGCCCAAGAGUUCAUAUCGACGGCGGUGUUUGGCACCUCGAUGUCGGCUCAUCACAUCCUGGGGCUGAAGUAGGUCCCAAGGGUAUGGCUGUUCGCCAUUUAAAGUGGUACGCGAGCUGGGUUUAGAACGUCGUGAGACAGUUCGGUCCCUAUCUGCCGUGGGCGCUGGAGAACUGAGGGGGGCUGCUCCUAGUACGAGAGGACCGGAGUGGACGCAUCAC
rnacentral:rRNA from 1 species